CGAUAGGCUCCAGGUUUCCCGUGACCCUGAAAAGGAUAAGCGGUAUAGAAGAUGGAUGGUUGGAUGUUGUAGGGUUCUGCACCACACCUUUAAGGGUUCAUCCAGUGGAAAAGAAAGAAAGAAAUAAAACGUCCUAGCUUUAUUUCUUAUAUUGGAUAAUUAAAGCAUAUCGUCUAUGAACUGAAUCAUAUCGGUGCUGAACUGAAUCAUAUUGGUGCUGAGCUGAAUCAUAUAGGUGCUGAGCUGAAUCAUAUCGGUGCUGAACUGAAUCAUAUAGGUUCUGAGCUGAAUCAUAUAGGUGCUGAGCUGAAUCAAAUCGGUGCUAAACUGAAUCAUAUAGGUGCUGAACUGAAUCAUAUAGGUGCUGAAAUUAACCAUAAUGCUGCUAAACGGAAUCACCUUUUAGAAUUAAUUCCUAAUCCUGUUGGACUUAAUUGACUUGCUGAGUUAAUUCAACACUGGGAUUAUCGGAAGUGAUCGAAUGAUAAGCCUCAGUAUUGACUUUAUUUACUGUGUGUUCUUCUACUGAUAAAAACCAACAGCAACGCAAGUAAAUACAGAUGCUGAGUUUUUC
ensembl:lncRNA